rnacentral:snRNA from 1 species
CAGUGAUUUCAGCUUUUUUUGUAUUUGUCUAGUAUGCUUUCUGCUUUAGUGGACAGCCUAA